GCAAGGGAGGGGGUGUGGGCCACACAUGUGGGAGUGGAGAUUCUACUCUAGUCCAGCUGCCAGCUAUUUGGAUAGGACACUGGUGCAGCAGGGAAGCCUCGAAGAUCCAGGAUGAAGUGUGCACAUUUAAACGGAAAAGAUUUUUAACCUGUCCUGGUUUUGCUUUUAAAAUAAUCUGAGGAUGUUGGAGGGAGGACUCAUUUCCAUUGGGAUGUGCGUGGAUGUGCUGGGAGGCAGAACCCCCCCCUAGAUUAGAGACUCUUUGUGCCCCUGACAAGGAAACUGGACAAGUUUUGGGGAAGUUCCAGCUCCCAGGAUGUGAUGUGGAGACCCAGCCUCG